AAGCCCCAGAAAUUAACCCAGCAAUUCCAUUAACUUGAAUAGUCCUAAAAAUAGCAGGCCCUUUAAAUAAUAAAAGGUUUGCUCUGGAUGUCUGUGUCAAGCUCUUCUUUUUCUGACUUUAAUAGCUUCUGCUUUGUGAGACCAGCUGAGUAUACAGGAAAGUGCCUCCCACCAGGGCCACAGCAGUCAGUCCCUUGUGGUUCCUGCUCCUGCCCUGUUUCUUGCCUUUUCUCUACAAAUUUCAUCUCCUCUGUAUCGGGAAGUAUAUUGCCUUCUCCAGGUUACUUAGUUUUCCCAAUCGAUCAGUUCUAGUUGUAAUAUUUGUAAAGAUAUUUGGGGCCUCACAAGAUGGCUCACAGGUUUAUUUUAUCCAACAACAAGCCUGAUGCAAGUUGGAUCCCUGGAAUCCACAUGGUAGAAGGAGAGAACUGAUUCUUGAAGGUUGCCCUCUGACCUCCACAAGUGUGCCCCCAUUACUUACACACUAAAAUAUUAAGAACUGACCUUUUCUAUCCUAUUUUUCCUUAACUGUAUUUGACUUCUGCUCUGGAUAGCUCUGUUGGACUGAUUUUGACUUUCUUGUAGUAAUUGAAUACCCCAUACAGAGUAAAUUUUAAAGAGGUUCGAGUUGGAUCCAGGGUCAGGGGCUGCAUCUAGUGAUGGCUGUCCUCUGGUGAUCACGUAUAUCAUAUGACAAGAGGUGGUGCGAUAGUGUGUAUAUUAGUGUUCUUUUACCUGAUGUCUUCUUACCCCACAAACCUUGCUUCAAGGGGCUCUAAUGACCAUGGAAAAUCUAGUGACCUUGUCUAACCUUAUCAUGUCCAGAUGUUCCACCUUUAAAACUGAUAGAUAAGUUGUCACCCUUAAUAACUCAAUGUGUAAAGGCUUGGGAGACAUACAACAGCAGUAGCAAAUGAACUCUUGACUAUAGUUGCUAAUUUUACCCAAUGUUUCCUCCAAUCUGCUUUUUACUCUAAUUUGAAACAACUAUUUGGAAUAGCUAAUAAUCUACAUGUUUUUAUGGUAAACUCAAUCUGGUUAUUUGCCUUCCAGAUAAUCCCCUCAGUGUCCCUCUCCAUUCCUCGAAGCCCUUUCUCAUUAGUAUAUACCUGCCUUUUUAUCGUGUGUGUGAGUGUGUGUGCUAGCAUGCUAAACACCACUGAGCUACAUCCCCAGCCUGCCUUUUUAUUGUUUAAGCAUACCGUAAUACUAACUCUCUGACUUAAGAGUGUCUUUUUCCAAAGAAAUGUGGAAACUUUCCAUAAUCUGACUCAUAAUUGAUGGGAUGUUCUAGAUAACCUCUCCCACAGUAUUAAGGGUUUUAUCUCUGGUCAACCCUGCAUGAAACACAGCUAUCAGGUAUUCUGAAUAGCUUCUACCUCUAGCCAUUUCCCCUUAGGUUUGCCAAUGUGCUGCCUUUGUAAACAGGUGAAGUCUUCAACAAAUCUAGUACCUCCCAGUACUGCAGGUGUAACUGCUGCAGUUCUGCCACAUCUGUAUUCCCAUUGCUGGCCUACUGCUCUUUAACACAGUGCUGCCUCUGGCCAUCUUAAACAUUUAACCUGAGGCAUUAUAUAUGUAAUAGAGCUGGUACAGAAAUAACUUUGAUUCUCCAUUGAACUAGUGGAGGAUUGUUAUCUAAAUAGUAGCUUUGUUCUGAUCUGAAUCCACUGUGGCUAGAGGUGCUAAGAGUACUGCAAACUUUGUCUUAUCACUAUUCCUGUAGUCCUUGUGUCCCCUGGAAGCAGGGAGUAAGGGAGAACUUAUCUCAUUUGUAUCCUGGUUUUUCUCAACUCUUGUCCCUUGAAUAUUUUAAACCUAUGACCUUCAGGAAGUCAGGAAUAUAGCUAAGGCUAUCUCCCAUCCUUGCCAUCCCCAUUAACGCUCAUUUUGCAAUACGUGUUUUGUGUUGAUGGUGAUUUUUUCAGUCUGUAGUGUCUGUUCACUCAUUGCUUUCACACCUGCGUUUCUUGUCUUUCUCCUGCUAGAUUGUAAGCUCCUUAAGGGCAAGGUCAGCAUAUCAGCAACGCUCUGUAAACAUGAACGUGCCUGAAUUCUGUGGGCACUCAAUAAAAGUGUGUGAUAAUGAUGCAACUUCUCACAUGACUACCUAAAAGUCUUUUCAACUUGAAUUUUUAAAAUUUCCCUCACUACUUCAAAUCUAGGGCCUUUCUGUAGGAAGGAGAGAAACAUUACUCCUUCAUAGAGGAAAGCUUGUUCCUUUUCUCCACGUCCAAUCUGGAUGUCUGGCAUCCACAGGAUAUCGAUUUGGGUCCUCAUGUGUUUUACAAAUACCAGUUUAUAUACUCUGAAGCAGAACCUGUGUCUUCUAAGAUUAAUAGUAUAGCUCUUUUGAAGUGUUAUUUAUUGAAAUAAUUUUCAAUUGUCAUAGAUUAUGCACAAAGAACCCAAAUCAUAAAGGUGAGUAAUGAUUUACU
rnacentral:lncRNA from 1 species